UCCUCUGCAUUUGUGUGAGCUCUCUCUCCCUCUCUUGUCUUUAUUUUAUUUUUCUAUUUCUUAGGUUAGUUUAGUUUCUAAGCCUUGAGCAAGGUCAUUCUCAAUAUGCUCUGUGGUUGCAGCUUAAGCUGAUCUGCCAAAUCCAGAAGAGAAUGAUUUUAAUCAAGUUGCUUAGAAAUGUUUAUCUAUUUGAGGGUUUUCUUAAAGAAGUUCUUGAUGUUCUUAUUUUGUUCUUAUUUUGUUCUUAUGAUCUUCAAAGAAAGGAUUUUAUAAAGGAGGUUUUGAUCUUGGGAGGAUUGAAUCUAUGCGAAAAUUAUGUUUUUCUUCGAAAUUUCUUCAAGUGUUCUUAUGAUCUUCAAGCAAAAUAUUUUAGAAAAGAAUGUUUGAUCUUAUGAAAGAAAUGAUUUUGGAUUUGCAAGGUUUUUGGGGGGAAUUUCGUGAUCAACAAGGGGAUGGGCUUAUGAUCGAUUCGAUUGUCCGAUUAGUAACGUUACUUUGUCCGUUCGUUGGUAGGAAAUUUCCAAGUGUAGAUCUAGCUUCAAGGGGCAACCCGAGACUUCUAGGAAAGCGUACCUUUGAGACAACAAGCAUGCGUGUGAUCAGUCGAGAUGCGACCCUAUAUCUGUUUGAUGUGGACGACGGCAAGGCUCGAGACAUCGACUGCGCGACUGAUGGUUCAGUUAUGGGAUUGACGAGAGCAGAGGAUGCGAGGCGAUAUGAUUCGAGCGCUGGAGGAGGCCUUGGAGGGCACGCGACCUAUGAGUCGGAUAUUGAGUGUGAUAAUUGAGUCUGUACUUGGGGGUGAGCUGAGUUUGUUUAUAGGGUUCGAACCAAACCUAGAGACCUUCUUGUUGUGUUGGCUCGGGGGCAAUCGGACACUAGUUUAAUCAUUAUGUUGUAAUUUGAAAGAAUCAUUGUACGCUUCCAAAGCUUUUAUUAAUAACAUGAAUUAUUCAGUCUA